rnacentral:misc_RNA from 1 species
AUGUAGUUCAUCGCCCAUUGAUUCUUUUCAUCCCAAUUAUCUUUCGCAUCCGUGUCCAUUUUCUCUCGUGUAUGUCUUGAUCACCAACAAAUUCUAAUUGCUCAUUUGUUAUACUACAAUAGAUGUAGUUCAUCGCCCAUUGAUUCUUUUCAUCCCAAUUAUCUUUCGCAUCCGUGUCCAUUUUCUCUCGUGUAGCCAGUUCAUAACAUUUUUUACACUUUAAAUACAUUAAUGUUCUUUUCUUCCAC